rnacentral:pre_miRNA from 1 species
UGGUUCGUCAAUACUGGUUGUGACGUGAUGACAUUUUUCACCUCCAUAUCACAGCCAUUUUGACGAGUUUAG